AACCGCAGAAUACAUAACACUCUUCGUAUAGCUUCGCACUCUUGUUGGAGCCGGAGAAACUUGUAUCCACACUCACAACACUCUUUACGAAACCUACAGCCUUGCCGGAGAACGCACGUCGGAGACACCGGAAAACCUUCAGUCGCCGGAGUAUAGAAGUUUCACUGGAGCCGCUCGGAGUUCACGACGGGAACCUUUCGACUUGUUUCGGUAUAUUAUCUCACACUCGACCAACUCAGUUAUUUCGUUACUUUUAUAAUCAAGAAUUGUAUUUUGAGUUACAAACAUAUAUCGACAUCAAUGGUGGUUUCAGGUCAAUCACUUUUGUUCGUCCUCUUGGUUUCCCAAUCUUUACUCGUACGCUCUUACAAGAAAGCGCAACGCAACCAAUGUGAGUAUACAUGA
rnacentral:lncRNA from 1 species